CAUUCGUAUACUGUUAAUAGCAUGGUUUAAGUAGAAAAAUUUCAAUUAUAAGUAAAUUUAUGGAUGAUUAUAAGUCUGAAUAGACCGACACGUAGGCCCAACGUUCCAUGAAUUUGCAUCUCUGAAUUAUGGUCUCAGGCUAUUUUCGUUUUAGUUUCAAUUGGGUUUUCAUUGUGGAUCCAGUAAUAUUCAUAUAAUUGUGAUGCAAAACUUGAUCUAGAAACCAUGUUACUAAUAUUAGUUUUUAUUUAACAUUAUUCAUCAUUAUCAGCAUUAUACUAUACGAUUACUGUGGUUCUUCAAGAUUUUAUUUUUUUUUUUAUUUUUUUUUUGGUGGACUUCUUGUGUAUGAAAGAUCGGAAGUUUGCUUGACUGUGUCAAACCCAGUUGCUAUUUGGGUGAGGCUCCGGCCGACUGCUACUUGUCUGGUUGAGGUGCCGGUCACACCAGGGGUGGAGCCCCAUUAGGCCAUCUGCCCGCACUGAACUUUUGGGCUCCAAUAGGCCCAAUUUAUUUUUUUUGUUUGGGUAAAGCCUGUUUAAUUAAAAAGGCCCAAUUUCCCGACCCGACUUCUUGAAUCAGUCCAUGGGCCGUUUAGUGACCCGACCCGAACCGACCCGACUUCUUGAAUCAAUUAUAACCCGUUCAAUUCAUGUUUCCAAUUUCCAAACCCUUGCAAACUUGAAAUCUUGAAUCACGUCUCUCCUCUCUGCUCUCAACCGGUGCCGUCGCCGCUUCUCGCCAGUCGGCAACUACUCCAACUCGCAAGCGACGCCGACUCAACUUCCACUCUUCCAGUCCACCGCCAGGUCCGCCACUGCUACGAGCGUCUGCCACUGCUUCUGCGGCUCUGCCGAGUUCCGACCGAAGCUGGAAGUUGCCCAACGAAGAACUAAGAAGGUGAUUGAAAGUUACCUUGCUUACCUAAUGUAUCUUUCAGUGAAGAUGGAGUGUGGAAAAUUCUGAAAAUUGAAAUUGUGAAAAUUCUGAAAAUUGAAAUUCUGAAUCACGUCUCUCCUCUCGCCUCUCGGGUUCUGCAGUCUACAGACUCUGCACUACUUAAUUUAAUAAAUUUAUGAAUGUUAGUGUUAGUGUGUAAUGUGUUACUGGUUAAUUAUUGAAUAUUGAUGGUUCUCAUUUCUCAACUCUCAAUCUCAUGGGUUUAUAUAAAUUAUAUUUGAUAUUUCUAUUGUGGAAUUGGAAUUUGGAAAUGCUGUUAGCCUGGCUGUUACUCUGUUGUAGAGAAAUUGAUUAAGUUCAUCUUUCUCAGCCCAUCAAGGAGAUUGCCCUGGCCGUUUCUCUCCUGGUUUUUGGCGCGCUCGGAAUCUUUCUUUCAGUUUCUUGGAAUCUUGGUGCCAUUAUGGCCGUCAAUAAUGUCGGCAGUGACCACUGACCGCACCCACGGUAAAUUUUCUAUUGGAGUUUGAGUUUGAGUUUAACUGUUUUUAUUGGUG
rnacentral:lncRNA from 1 species